rnacentral:rRNA from 1 species
GAGUGCAGUAGGGGAGUCUGGAAUUCCUGGUGUAGCGGUGAAAUGCGCAGAUAUCAGGAGGAACACCGGUGGCGAAGGCGGGACUCUGGGCUGUAACUGACACUGAGGAGCGAAAGCAUGGGGAGCGAACAGGAUUAGAUACCCUGGUAGUCCAUGCCGUAAACGUUGGGCACUAGGUGUGGGGGGACAUUCCACGUUCUCCGCGCCGUAGCUAACGCAUUAAGUGCCCCGCCUGGGGAGUACGGUCGCAAGGCUAAAACUCAAAGGAAUU